GUGGGAAUUGCUGGAGAUACUAUUAGACUUGAGACCGGGAGAGGUUAGAGGUACUCCCAGGGUAGAGGCGAAAUUCUGUAAUCCUGGGAGGACCGCCUGUUGCGAAGGCGUCUAACUGGAACGGUUCUGACGGUGAGGGACGAAAGUUAGGGGCGCGAACCGGAUUAGAUACCCGGGUAGUCCUAAACUGUAAACGAUGCGGACUUGGUGUUGGGUGGCUUUGAGCUGCUUCAGUGCCGAAGGGAAGCUGUUAAGUCCGCCGCCUGGGGAAGUACGGUCGCAAGACUGAAACUUAAGGAAUUGGCGGGGGAGCACCACAACGCGUGGAGCCUGCCGGUUUAAUUGGAUUCAACGCCGGACAUCUCACCAGAGGCGACAGCUGUAUGAUAGCCAGGUUGAUGACUUUGCUUGACUAGCUGAGAGGAGGUGCAUGG
rnacentral:rRNA from 1 species